UCCGGAGGGCGCAACCGUUGUUCGGAAUCACUGGGCGUAAAGCGCGUGCAGGCGGCUUGGUAAGUCGGGUGUGAAAUCCCGGAGCUCAACUCCGGAACUGCACCCGAUACUGCCUCGCUAGAGUCCCGGAGAGGAUGGCGGAAUUUCCGGUGUAGAGGUGAAAUUCGUAGAUAUCGGAAGGAACACCAGCGGCGAAGGCGGCCAUCUGGACGGUGACUGACGCUCAGACGCGAAAGCGCGGGGAGAAAACAGG
rnacentral:rRNA from 1 species